GUGGGUGUAGCUCAGUUGGUUAGAGCAUCAGUUUGUGGCACUGAGGGUCGUGGGUUCGAGCCCCAUCUCCCACCCCA
rnacentral:tRNA from 1 species